UAAAAAUGGGGUAGGCACUACAAUUAAGUUUCGGCCUUAAGUUACUGAGAUUAUUCUCACAUUUUUAU
rnacentral:tRNA from 1 species